GAUGAACGCUGGCGGCGUGCCUAAUACAUGCAAGUCGAGCGAACAGACGAGGAGCUUGCUCCUUUGACGUUAGCGGCGGACGGGUGAGUAACACGUGGGUAACCUACCUAUAAGACUGGGAUAACUUCGGGAAACCGGAGCUAAUACCGGAUAAUAUUUCGAACCGCAUGGUUCGAUAGUGAAAGAUGGCUUUGCUAUCACUUAUAGAUGGACCUGCGCCGUAUUAGCUAGUUGGUAAGGUAACGGCUUACCAAGGCAACGAUACGUAGCCGACCUGAGAGGGUGAUCGGCCACACUGGAACUGAGACACGGUCCAGACUCCUACGGGAGGCAGCAGUAGGGAAUCUUCCGCAUUGGGCGAAAGCCUGACGGAGCAACGCCGCGUGAGUGAUGAAGGUCUUCGGAUCGUAAAACUCUGUUAUUAGGGAAGAACAAACGUGUAAGUAACUGUGCACGUCUUGACGGUACCUAAUCAGAAAGCCACGGCUAACUACGUG
rnacentral:rRNA from 1 species